UAUUGGCCUUCAACUAAAUUGUUCAAAAAAAAAAAAAAAUGCAGAAAGAGAAAUCGAACCUCCGCCCUUUUUCUGAAAUUUCUGCCUCGAUUCACUUCAUGGCCGCUCAAAUUCCACCAUUGAAGGCGUCUUGAGCUUUUCUAGUAGAUGCUGAAAAGAUAUACAAUCUAGAAAUCUAAGCAAGGGGAAAAAAUAAAUUUGAAGGAGUUUGCAGGUUAGGGUUUCAAGCCAGGAGUUUCUGAGUUAGCAAAAGCAAUAACAUCAGAUGAUCUGGAAAUAAUUCAAAAGUUUCUUGAAGAUGCUGUCGAAUCCAGGGUUUUGGUUUAUAUAUGAGCAAUUAUCAUGGUUACCAUUUAUACGUUUAAUUGUCCAGUUCUGAAGGUCUGAUUGUCAAAACAUAAAUAAAGAUGCCACAUCUGAGCCCUUCCAAAUGGUCCCACAAUUCAUUGAAAUUGAAAAAAGAUUACAUGGGCAGCAUUGGUGACUCAGUAGAUUUAGUACCUGUUGCCGCAUUCCAUGGUCGUGGAAAAUGUACAGGUGUAUAUGGUGCCUUUCUCCAUGCUUGUGAAGAUGAUAAGAGUGAAGAAUUCAAAGCAAAUGCAAAAUAAGUAAGUAGUCUUUUUGGUACAUGUUGAUAUCUGCACUUGGUAGAUCUCCGAUACGUGGAACUGUAUCUGAUGCUGUGCUGGCACUGGAUCUUUUGAAGUGACACUUGAAGAGCGUUCUAACAGUCUUCAUAGUAAACUGAUCCCAAAACCAAAGGUUACUUAUCUUCUCUUUUUGUUUUGUUGAAACAAUGAAAAAUUAUGUCUGAUUGCAAAUGGUCACAAGUGAAACUUCAUUCUUAUAUUAUUUCCAGCCAUAUUAUCGGUGUGGAGAUACAACCAAUCCAGAUGUAUGGUUUGAACCAUCUGAAGAAGUCAUUAUCACCUUGUUACCUUUAGGUGAAUAUUUUCACUUCUCA